CCUACGGGAGGCUGCAGUGGGGAAUUUUGGACAAUGGGCGCAAGCCUGAUCCAGCCAUGCCGCGUGAGUGAAGAAGGCCUUCGGGUUGUAAAGCUCUUUCGGCGGGGACGAAACGGUCCGUGCUAACACCACGGACUAAUGACGGUACCCGCAGAAGAAGCACCGGCUAACUACGUGCCAGCAGCCGCGGUAAUACGUAGGGUGCAGGCGUUAAUCGGAAUUACUGGGCGUAAAGCGUGCGCAGGCGGUCUCUUAAGUCAGAUGUGAAAUCCCCGGGCUUAACCUGGGAACUGCGUUUGAAACUGAGAGGCUAGAGUGCGGCAGAGGGGGGUGGAAUUCCACGUGUAGCAGUGAAAUGCGUAGAGAUGUGGAGGAACACCGAUGGCGAAGGCAGCCCCCUGGGUCGACACUGACGCUCAUGCACGAAAGCGUGGGGAGCA
rnacentral:rRNA from 1 species